rnacentral:rRNA from 1 species
UGGGGAAUAUUGGACAAUGGGCGAAAGCCUGAUCCAGCCAUGCCGCGUGUGUGAAGAAGGUCUUCGGAUUGUAAAGCACUUUAAGUUGGGAGGAAGGGCAGUAAGUUAAUACCUUGCUGUUUUGACGUUACCGACAGAAUAAGCACCGGCUAACUCUGUGCCAGCAGCCGCGGUAAUACAGAGGGUGCAAGCGUUAAUCGGAAUUACUGGGCGUAAAGCGCGCGUAGGUGGUUCGUUAAGUUGGAUGUGAAAGCCCCGGGCUCAACCUGGGAACUGCAUCCAAAACUGGCGAGCUAGAGUAUGGUAGAGGGUGGUGGAAUUUCCUGUGUAGCGGUGAAAUGCGUAGAUAUAGGAAGGAAAACCAGUGGCGAAGGCGACCACCUGGACUGAUACUGACACUGAGGUGCGAAAGCGUGGGGAGCAAACA